rnacentral:rRNA from 1 species
AACGAACGCUGGCGGCAUGCCUAACACAUGCAAGUCGAACGAGACCUUCGGGCUUAGUUGCGCACGGGUGCGUAACGCGUGGGAACCUGCCCUUAGGUUCGGAAUAACUCCCCGAAAGGGGUGCUAAUACCGGAUAAUGUCUUCGGACCAAAGAUUUAUCGCCUUUGGAUGGGCCCGCGUUGGAUUAGCUAGUUGGUAGGGUAAAAGCCUACCAAGGCGACGAUCCAUAGCUGGUCUGAGAGGAUGAUCAGCCACACUGGGACUGAGACACGGACCAGACUCCUACGGGAGGCAGGAGUGGGGAAUAUUGGACAAUGGGGGGAAGCCUGAUCCAGCAAUGCCGCGUGAGUGAUGAAGGCCUUAGGGUUGUAAAGCUCUUUUACCCGGGAUGAUAAUGACAGUACCGGGAGAAUAAGCUCCGGCUAACUCCGUG